UCUCUCUCUCUCUCUCUCUUUCUCUCUUUCUCUCUUUCUCUCUUUCUUUCUUCUUCACACUCUCAUUUUAAAAUUCACACUCACACCAUUUAAUGGUUUUAACUUGUACCAGUUCACUGGAUUAGUAAAACAAAAUAACUAUCUUUCCAUCAUCAACAGGAAAAAGGAAAAAAAAAAUUUUUUAGGCUUCCCCAAGCAUUUGCAGUGAUGAAAUUGCUAAACUAUUCUUGUUGUGUAGUGCAGAAAAGAACUAAUUAUGUGACUUUUUAUUUUUAUAUGACUUUUUUUUUUUUUUUUUUUUUUUUUUUUAAUUUCAGAACAAGGAAAAUAUAAUAAUUGUUGGUCCUGGAAACUUAAAGAUAAAAUAUACUAUAAUCCAGACUUCAUUAUGACUUCAGGGACUGGUAAUAAUAAUAAUAAGGCAUUAUGUAGUCCUAAGGAGCUUCAUAUCUAGAAGGUAAAUACUUAAAAGCCAUGGCACAUCAGCAAAUCCAGAGGCAAGAAUAGAGAUUAUUAUGGUUUUAGGUGGAGGAAUGUUAUUAUUCUUUUUAUUAUUUUAUUUUAUUUUUUUUUAAUCAGCUCUAAAUCUCAUUGCAGAAGAACUCAAUUUUGAAAAGGAGACUUGGCGUUCAACAUCAGAAGGACCCUCUCUGCAGAAAUGAACCACUAAACUAUCCUUGUUAUGGACAACCUACAAAACCUGGGUGGUUAAUUAUCUCUUUAAGGUAUUUGAAUGGUGGAACGUUUCAGUUUGACCAGCAGCAGGGACAGACAGAAAUGAAAGUAAGAGAAAACUGGAGCAUGUCAGAAUUACAAAUGGAAAUUUCAUCCUGCAACCCUACUGCAGCAUGUACCAUCUGCUCCAGCCGUCCUACUGAAAAUGAUGGGCCUGAUCCUGCAACUGUCUUGCAUUUGAAUAACCUGUAAUUAUCCAUGUAAUCCUGCUAAGUCUAGUCACACGGCUGUGAGUUACUCGCACAGGUAAAGGCUGUAGGAUUCUUCCCAGGUUAUUGGAUGGACAAAACCCGCUAAACAAAGCACUGUGCCCCCCUUUGCUUGGCUGAGACCUUUUCAAAUACUUUCAUCCAAGUGAAAACUAUUGCUUGAAUCCGAGUAAUUAUUACACACCGUGGGAAAGGAAAUUGCCCUAAAACACAUUCAGACAAAUGCCAAAACGAUAUGCACCUUUUGCAGAUGCCUGCAGACCUCCUCCUCUAACAUCUCUUGAGUGGCCAAACCCUAUCAAACGACAAAAAUAUGGAUAAAAAUGAGAAUGAUCCGACCAGAUAUGAAACCAACCCCCUGGCUCAAAACAGCCUUGGUAUUUGGUGGGUAAAGGAAAGAGAUUUAUCUUCAAGGAGAAGUCAAGCCAUGUGGUAAGGAGCGAAGAUCCAAAAACCACUUGGCACUGCCUGCCCACUUUCAGGAAGCAGCCAGCACCAUGGAUGUGACACAGACCCAACAAAAAAAAAAGCAGGUCAAAACUGCUUUUUAAGAUGAUGCAUACCCAAGCCAUUAGCACUGUGUCCACACAUUAACACAUCAGCACAAAGGUAGGGCACACGAAGGGCAAGAGGAGGGGGAAAGAGUUAUGCAAAAAGUGCUCCGGGACCGCCGCCGGGGCAGCUCAUCUCUAACAGGAAACACAUGUUAUUCAGCCCUGUGCCUAAUAGGGUUGGACAGUAAUUAAAAAAUAUCUUUUAUUUGGAGAGCUGGGUCUUGAAACUAACAACUCGUGCCAUUAAUCUUGUUGAUCUACGGCAAAGAUCUGCCCCAGGGUCGGCGAGCGGGGUUUUUGCAGGUUGUGUAGGGCCGAGCACAGCAAUGGGACAAGGCGUGCUAUGGUAGGCCCGGCUGCUUCCUGUAGGUAUUGACGCACAGUGGUCAGGAAGGGGAUCUUUCUGUGCUCGUACCACCAGGCCACAGU
rnacentral:lncRNA from 1 species